rnacentral:rRNA from 1 species
GACGAACCGUGCGAACGUUGUUCGGAAUCACUGGGCUUAAAGGGCGCGUAGGCGGGCUGUCAAGUCUGGGGUGAAAUGCCGCGGCUCAACCGUGGAACUGCCUCAGAUACUGACGGCCUCGAGGAAGGUAGGGGCAUGCGGAACUGUAGGUGGAGCGGUGGAAUGCGCAGAUAUCGGAAGGAACGCCGGUGGCGAAAGCGACGUGCUGGACCCUUUCUGACGCUGAGGCGCGAAAGCCAGGGGAGCAAACGGG